rnacentral:rRNA from 1 species
GACGAACGCUGGCGGCGUGCUUAACACAUGCAAGUCGAACGAAGUGGCGAACGGGUGAGUAAUACGUGGGUAACCUGCCCUGCUUUUUGGGAUAAGCCUUGGAAACUGGGUCUAAUACCGGAUAAAGAGGGAUGGGCUGGCGGCCUGUACGUGUGUUGGUGGGGUGAUGGCCUACCAAGGCGGUGACGGGUAGCCGGCCUGGGAGGGUGGCUGGCAUCAUGGGGACUGAGAUACGGCCCAGACUACUACGGGAGGCAGCAGUGGGGGAUAUUGCACAAUGGGUGAAAGUCUGAUGCAGCGACGCCGCGUGGGGGAUGAAGGCUUUCGGGUUGGAAACCUCUUUCGCUAUCGAACCGGUAGGUGGAGAAGAAGCGCCGGCUAACUACGUGCCAGCAGCCGCGGUAAUAC